rnacentral:tRNA from 1 species
GGAGAGGUGCAGGAGUGGCUUAACUGGCACGCCUGGAGAGCGUGUGUACCGUAAAACCGGUACCGUGGGUUCGAAUCCCACCCUCUCCG